AGUGGCGGACGGGUGAGUAACGCGUGGGUAACCUGCCUUAUACAGGGGGAUAACAGUCAGAAAUGACUGCUAAUACCGCAUAAGCGCACAGGACCGCAUGGUCCGGUGUGAAAAACUCCGGUGGUAUAAGAUGGACCCGCGUUGGAUUAGCUAGUUGGUGAGGUAACGGCCCACCAAGGCGACGAUCGGUAGCCGGACUGAGAGGUUGAACGGCCACAUUGGGACUGAGACACGGCCCAGACUCCUACGGGAGGCAGCAGUGGGGAAUAUUGCACAAUGGGGGAAACCCUGAUGCAGCGACGCCGCGUGGAGGAAGAAGGUCUUCGGAUUGUAAACUCCUGUUGUUGAGGAAGAUAAUGACGGUACUCAACAAGGAAGUGACGGCUAACUACGUGCCAGCAGCCGCGGUAAAACGUAGGUCACAAGCGUUGUCCGGAAUUACUGGGUGUAAAGGGAGCGCAGGCGGGAAGACAAGUUGGAAGUGAAAUCCAUGGGCUCAACCCAUGAACUGCUUUCAAAACUGUUUUUCUUGAGUAGUGCAGAGGUAGGCGGAAUUCCCGGUGUAGCGGUGGAAUGCGUAGAUAUCGGGAGGAACACCAGUGGCGAAGGCGGCCUACUGGGCACCAACUGACGCUGAGGCUCGAAAGUGUGGGUAGCAAACAGGAUUAGAUACCCUGGUAGUCCACACUGUAAACGAUGAUUACUAGGUGUUGGAGGAUUGACCCCUUCAGUGCCGCAGUUAACACAAUAAGUAAUCCACCUGGGGAGUACGACCGCAAGGUUGAAACUCAAAGGAAUUGACGGGGGCCCGCACAAGCAGUGGAGUAUGUGGUUUAAUUCGACGCAACGCGAAGAACCUUACCAAGUCUUGACAUCCUGCGACGCACAUAGAAAUAUGUGUUUCCUUCGGGACGCAGAGACAGGUGGUGCAUGGUUGUCGUCAGCUCGUGUCGUGAGAUGUUGGGUUAAGUCCCGCAACGAGCGCAACCCUUAUGGUCAGUUACUGCGCAAGAGGACUCUGGCCAGACUGCCGUUGACAAAACGGAGGAAGGUGGGGAUGACGUCAAAUCAUCAUGCCCUUUAUGACUUGGGCUACACACGUACUACAAUGGCGUUAAACAAAGAGAAGCAAGACCGCGAGGUGGAGCAAAACUCAGAAACAACGUCCCAGUUCGGACUGCAGGCUGCAACUCGCCUGCACGAAGUCGGAAUUGCUAGUAAUCGCAGAUCAGCAUGCUGCGGUGAAUACGUUCCCGGGCCUUGCACACACCGCCCGUCA
rnacentral:rRNA from 1 species